AUUGAACGCUGGCGGCAGGCUUAACACAUGCAAGUCGAGCGAGCGGCGGACGGGUGAGUAACGUAUGGGGAUCUGCCUGAUGGAGGGGGAUAACUACUGGAAACGGUGGCUAAUACCGCAUACUAUCAGAUGAACCCAUCUGGGAUUAGCUAGUAGGUGGGGUAACGGCUGACCUAGGCGACGAUCCCUAGCGGGUCUGAGAGGAGGAUGGGCCACACUGGGACUGAGACACGGCCCAGACUCCUACGGGAGGCAGCAGUGGGGAAUAGUGGACAAUGGGCGCAAGCCUGAUGCAGCCAUGCCGCGUGUAUGAAGAAGGCCUUAGGGUUGUAAAGUACUUUCAGCAGGGAGGCGGUACCGGCAGAAGAAGCACCGGCUAACUCCGUGCCAGCAGCCGCGGUAAUUC
rnacentral:rRNA from 1 species